rnacentral:rRNA from 1 species
AGUGAACGCUGGCGGUAGGCCUAACACAUGCAAGUCGAACGGCAGCACAGUAAGAGCUUGCUCUUACGGGUGGCGAGUGGCGGACGGGUGAGGCAUACAUCGGAAUCUACUUUUUCGUGGGGGAUAACGUAGGGAAACUUACGCUAAUACCGCAUACGACCUACGGGUGAAAGCAGGGGAUCUUCGGACCUUGCGCGACUGAAUGAGCCGAUGUCGGAUUAGCUAGUUGGCUGGGUAAAGGCCCACCAAGGCGACGAUCCGUAGCUGGUCUGAGAGGAUGAUCAGCCACACUGGAACUGAGACACGGUCCAGACUCCUACGGGAGGCAGCAGUGGGGAAUAUUGGGCAAUGGGCGCAAGCCUGAUCCAGCCAUGCCGCGUGAGUGAAGAAGGCCUUCGGGUUGUAAAGCCCUUUUGUUGGGAAAGAAAAGCAGCAGGUUAAUACCCCGCUGUUCUGACGGUACCCAAAGAAUAAGCACCGGCUAACUUCGUG